rnacentral:rRNA from 1 species
GACGAACGCUGGCGGCGUGCCUAAUACAUGCAAGUUGAGCGAUGAAGAUUGGUGCUUGCACCAAUUUGAAGAGCAGCGAACGGGUGAGUAACGCGUGGGGAAUCUGCCUUUGAGCGGGGGACAACAUUUGGAAACGAAUGCUAAUACCGCAUAAUAACUUUAAACAUAAGUUUUAAGUUUGAAAGAUGCAAUUGCAUCACUCAAAGAUGAUCCCGCGUUGUAUUAGCUAGUUGGUGAGGUAAAGGCUCACCAAGGCGAUGAUACAUAGCCGACCUGAGAGGGUGAUCGGCCAAAUUGGGAAUGAGACACGGCCCAAACUCCUAAGGGAGGCAGCAGUAGGGAAUCUUCGGCAAUGGACGAAAGUCUGACCGAGCAACGCCGCGUGAGUGAAGAAGGUUUUCGGAUCGUAAAACUCUGUUGGUAGAGAAGAACGUUGGUGAGAGUGGAAAGCUCAUCAAGUGACGGUAACUACCCAGAAAGGGACGGCUAACUACGUG